GCUGGCGGCGGGAAAUGCUGGUGGGUCCCCGGCGGAUGGCCGUAGGCAGGCAGGCCCACAGAGUAGCCAGUCCCAGGCAGAGACUCGCAGGUCCCGGGAGAGCCACCCAAGCAGGCAGAUUUUGACCCAUGGAUCCAACAAAAGAUCCUGUUUAUUACUACUGUUAUGGUCUACUGGCCUGGUUUGUCACCUGGCUGCCCUGCUGAGAUAACCUGCCAAGACCUGGGGUGACCUGCCUUGGCCCCUCCUGGCCCACUGCUGCCCCUCAGGGGACCAUCACCCCUUAUUGGACUGACCUUCCAAAAAGAAUAAAAUUGGUGCAUGACUUGGACAGGCUCUCUCCACAUUCCCUCCUGCCUGCGGGUGGGCCGGCUGAGGACAUGUAGGGACCCUGGACUCAGACCACUUUCCAAUGCUACAAAUGGUAAGGUUCCCUUGUUCAAGUCAGCUUUCGCUCACAUUCACCUCUGGUUGCUUCCCAUAGUGCUGUUCAACACCCCUAGCACUGCACUCACUGAGCGGUGCUUUGAUUUUUGGGUCCUGGAGCUUCUGGAGUUAUUUUUAGUUUAGUUUUGUUUUGUUUUGUUUUGUUUUUCCCUGCUUGGACCACUUGUAAUUGGUCCUCGCUGUCUGGGGUUACUGGGAGUAGCCCCUAACCCCUGAUUGCUGAGCUGAUAAGCAGGGAAUCAGCUUGGCUUUAUUAUAAACCCCCACACUAUCCUGGAGGUGUUCAGCUAGUGGCCCUGGGAUUUGUGCUGCUUUUGCCAUUUUCAUGUUCUCAGCUAUGGGAAAUAAACCUUCAAAAACUAUCAGGUCCUUUCUGAUUUCUCCCAGUAAACAGGACUGCUGGUCUCCCGCCUGCUGGCAUCUCCUGCCCGUCUGCUUUUCCUUCCCCACCCAUCCAUAAACGCUCUUUUCCUCUCACUCCCAUUCCUUCUAUUCUAUCCCUGCCACUGCUACCACGGAUCCCUCAGAAACCAGCAAGAUUAGUCAGAUCCAUGAGGCAGCUGCUUCCAGUUCUUGCCCUUGCUCCCUGCUGCGGCUAGUGUCUUACGGUGCUGAGUAAUUUUCCUCUCUACUUCAUGUAUGAAUGAAUGUGUGUAUUGUGUGACCACACAGAUGUAAUUCUGUUUUAAAUGUAUGUUCUACACAGCCUCUAUGUCUCUCUUGUUAUUAUAUUUAAAACUCCCAUGGCUCAAAAACCGUGUUUUCUCCAUGUAACAUGUGACCGCCACCAUUUUGACUCUGUUAUAUGUAUGUUUUGCUCAGUGGCAUGCUAUGGGUAGGGCCCACUGAAGCAUCCAUUUUGCCCAACUCCUGAUUAAUAUGUGUGUGUAUGCAUGCAUGUGAUUGGAGUUAACUAUGUAUAAACAUAAGGUAGCUUUAACUCUGUGAAUAUGUGUAUAAAACAAAUUCAACUGGGUGUGAAUGCACAUAUGUUUACUGUAAAAUGUUAUAAUUGCCCGUUGUGUCUCAUUCCAGACCAAGAAAGCAAUAAGUCUCAUAUUUUAAAUUGGUAUGUACUUUUAAGUCUCUUACAAAAAUACGUAUAUGUAAUCCAACCCUGCUUUAAAAUAUACUAAGCUGUUCUCCACUAUUGUCAGUUCUACCAUUAAGCUUCUAUUGCAGUUUUUUUCUUCUUUGUCUUUCACAAGUAUAAAUCUUACCUGUUAAGUUGAGAGCCAGUACUGACAAGCUUGGAUCCAGCUCUCCACGUAGAUCCUAUACUGUAUCUAUACCCGAUAAACAGCCCUCAACUGCUCAGAGAUCUGGGGAAUAUGGCAUUUAAAUGUUUGAUUAUUAAAAGACUUCUCAUAACAGAGAGAGACAGGUUGGCUCCUAGCACCAGCACUCUACUGCCUGGUUCUCCAACAGAAAGGGUGGAGCCUGCUGGACUUUCCCUGGGGCUGAGCAGGAUGAAGACAGAAGACAAAUGAGCACAAAACAACAUCCAUCUGCAAUUCUCUUCAUCAACUGCCAAGCAAUGACCACUGGGAAAACUGCCUUUUAUCUGAACUGAAGCUCUCUAGAUGGUGGACAGAAUCACUGGAAUGGACAGCCUAGCUGCUCAGGUCAAGGUUCAAGAGACACCAGACAGUUCUAUACCAGAAACCCUGGACAGGAGUAAAGAGACCAGCUACCCCAGGAUGUGACCAGCACCCAGCUUUCUCAGGUUCUCCUCAAGAUGAUGCCCACAAAUAAGCAGAAAGCAGUCUUGAGAAUCUGCUAUCCCAACACCUUUAACCUGUUGUGCCUUACUUCCCUUCUUUUUAUUAUAAGAAAGAGAUGGGAAUGUUAUUAUCUACUGGCCUGUCCUGCCACCUGGGUACCUAUCCCUUUAAGAGACAAGCCCCACCCACUUCUAAUCCCCCUUCUGCCUAAACAAGGGGAUCUCCUGCCUCCUUCAGCCUGUACUCUCUUUCUCUCUCCAUCUUCUCUUUUAAAGUUCUGUCUCUCUUAUCCCGCCUCUCUCUU